CUCUGGGCUGUUGUUGGGAGGCCUCACCAACCACUCAGGAGCUCACCAGCAGUCUGAGAUACAGGGAGCAGCAAUUUAACCACUCACCCUUGUCGCUGUUCUCCAAGCCUCUCGGGGACCUUUCUCCUUCCAGUUCUCCUCUGCAACUUCUUCUCGUGGAGUCUCCUGUCGUUUCAGUGCAGGGUGCCUGGGAUGUAAAGUGAGGAAACCCGAACAGCCCAUAAUUUGGUGAGAUAAACAAGAGUCAUUGAGCAACAUGGAGGAACCACAGUAAGCAAGUCAGUAAGCAGAUAAAACACACAGCGACAGGUGCUUCUCCAAGAAAAAAGCCUGUGCAGGCUAGGUUUCUUUCUGAUGUGGGAUGUUGAAGCAGCAGAAAACUCCCAGGAUUUCAUCUUGGAUGCCCAGAACUCCAAGGGUGCUAUUCUGUGGGCCUUACAGAGUUCACCACAUUGGAGGCCUCCACCUAUUUCCUCCUUACCCUCAGAGCUUGCAUGUAUCUAGCAGUCAUUAAAGCUGUUCAGAUAUUCUACUUCUAUGCCUCUGAGGCAUAUGUC